rnacentral:rRNA from 1 species
AUUGAACGCUGGCGGCAGGCUUACCACAUGCACGUCGAACGAGCGGCGGAAGGGUUAGUAAUGUCUUGGAAACUGCCUGAUGUAGGGGUCUAACUACUGGCAACUUUCGCUCAUACCGCCUCCCAUCAGAUGUGCCCAGAUGGGAUUAGCUAGGAGGUGGGGUAAUGGCUCUCCUAGGCGACGAUCCCUAGCUGGUCUGAGAGGAUGACAAGCCACACGGGAACGGAGAAACGGUCCAGACUCCUACGGGAGGCAGCAGUGGGGAAUAUUGGACAAUGGGCGCAAGCCUGAUGAAGCAAUGCCGCGUGUGUGAAGAAGGCCUUCGGGUUGUAAAGCACUUUCAGCGAGGAGGCGGUACUCGCAGAAGAAGCACCGGAUAACUCCGGGCCAGCAGCCGCGGUAAUAC